GAUGAACGCUGGCGGCGUGCCUAAUACAUGCAAGUCGAGCGAACGGACGAGAAGCUUGCUUCUCUGAUGUUAGCGGCGGACGGGUGAGUAACACGUGGAUAACCUACCUAUAAGACUGGGAUAACUUCGGGAAACCGGAGCUAAUACCGGAUAAUAUUUUGAACCGCAUGGUUCAAAAGUGAAGGACGGUCUUGCUGUCACUUAUAGAUGGAUCCGCGCUGCAUUAGCUAGUUGGUAGGGUAACGGCUUACCAAGGCAACGAUGCAUAGCCGACCUGAGAGGGUGAUCGGCCACACUGGAACUGAGACACGGUCCAGACUCCUACGGGAGGCAGCAGUAGGGAAUCUUCCGCAAUGGGCGAAAGCCUGACGGAGCAACGCCGCGUGAGUGAUGAAGGUCUUCGGAUCGUAAAACUCUGUUAUUAGGGAAGAACAUAUGUGUAAGUAACUGUGCACAUCUUGACGGUACCUAAUCAGAAAGCCACGGCUAACUACGUG
rnacentral:rRNA from 1 species